UUCACAAACUUUGUCACAGUUAUGACUGCGGAGCGUUCUCAGCUCAACAUGUUUGAGGAGCGCAGUAACAGACAGGCUGGCUGAAGUGGUUAUAAUGGGACACCGAGGCUGAGUUUAACGCGACACAGAAGCUGAGCUGACAGAUCAUACUAAACUGUAGCAUAAACGAGCAGAGAAGUUCAGCUUGGGGCAGAUUGAGAGGGACGUCGCAGUGCUAAAGGAUUUCGUUCUGAAAGGUGUUAUCGAAGAGUAAUGAUGUCCACAUUCACUAAAUGUAUCUAAGCUUCCAAGGUCAGGCGCAUACUCCCAAUCAGAGGCUGCAGGUCUAGCAGGAGAAGAAUCGAUGCAAAGUCACUGGAGACCCAUCUUGCUCUUUGUAUCCCCGCCACAGCAACGACACAAUGACCACAGCAUGAGAAUCACAAUGGGCCCCAUUCAUCAAUCAGACCCAGCUGAAGAAGAAAAUCUAUUCCCCAUCACUAUAUCAGUGUGUGUAAUGAUUCUAAAAACAAAUGGUAUGACCUUUAUUA